rnacentral:misc_RNA from 1 species
UUGUGGUUUGAGUUGCGAGGUACCUUCACUAUUGUAGUGUGGAUACAUUUAAUGUGUUUGGGAGACUGCAAUGCCCAUGUUUCUUCAGGAUGGGACCUUAUAAAAAAAGUUGAUUUUAUUUUUUGUAGUAGUAGUUUUUAAGGAAAUGUGUCAAAAUUGAGGACUAGGAGAAUGAGAUAUCCUCUUAUUUUUCGUCUGUUGUG